rnacentral:rRNA from 1 species
AUUGAACGCUGGCGGCAGGCUUAACACAUGCAAGUCGAACGAGUGGCGGCCGGGUGAGUAAUGCUUGGGAAUCUAGCUUAUGGAGGGGGAUAACUACGGGAAACUGUAGCUAAUCCCGCAUACCAUCCGUUGAACCCAUAUGGGAUUAGCUUGUAGGUGAGGGAACGGCUCACCUAGUCGACGAGCCCUAGCUGGUCUGAGAGGAUGAUCAGCCACACUGGGACGGAGAAACGGCCCAGACUCCGACGGGAGGCAGCAGUGGGGAAUAUUGCACAAUGGGGGCAAGCCUGAUGCAGCCAGGCCGCGGGUAGGAAGAAGGCCUUCGGGUUGUAAAGUACUUUCAGUCGGGAGGCGUUACCGACAGAAGAAGCACCGACUAACUCCGUGCCAGCAGCCGCGGUAAUAC